CGAAGCAAUAUCAAACUUUAAUAUUGCAUAAGAUUUCUUGAACACACCACCAUAUUGACAGUUGUUCUCACUAAAGAUCU